AUACCAGAGUGGCCAAAUGGGGCAGACUGUAAAUCUGCUGUCUUUCGACUUCGGUGGUUCGAAUCCAUCU
rnacentral:tRNA from 1 species